CCAUGUUGUGAGGCGGCGCCACGUUGUCCGGGGACUCCAUGAGAUGGUGCCGCGUUGUGAGUUUGAAAUAAGUGGAAAACAUGGACCUGUUGGAUGUGGGAUUAUGUUGAAACAGUACAGCAGGAGUCCAAAUGGGAGAGGAAAUCUGUGCACAACCAGUGCCACCACGAGAUAAAUAAGCAGCAGGAACCAGGAGGAGGAGGAUCUGAGGAGCUGUGACCUUGCAUUGCUCUUGCUCUACAUGGCCAACUGCCUGAACUGAACGUAUACCCUUGUAACUCCGGAAUCUGAUUCAAGCAAACCUGCUGCGAUUAGAUUCAGAUCAGUGUGAGAAAAGAUGUCCACACCAUGUUCAUUCCCAUCCCUGUCUUCUCCAGAUAAUGUGCUUCCUUGGAGCUGCCAAGAGAAAACGCAUUCCCACGGUAUCAUCAAAGGAGCUGUGUCCAGCACCAGUUUUUCCUACCAACCAGAUCAACGGGCUGAGUGUGGCAGCUCUGUACAGCAGCUCUCGUGACUCCAGCUGAUACAUUCACAUCAUGAGAAGGUCCGGUAUUGCCGACAACUGGAGAACAGUUGCAGUGAAGUACAACUGGCGCAAUUAAAAGCGACUGAAGAGGUGUGCAACUAAAGCUGCUCAAGUGAAGUUUACCCAUGUAAAAAAAAAUGAAGUUACCAGAAGUGAGUGAAAUACAAAGUCGCACGUCUUAAUGUAAUGAGGUGGACUGAAGGGUGGAUUACACGAAGGACUAUACUUUUAGAGAACAACGAAGUUCUAUACUUCUGUUGCUUGAAAUAUCACCUUCAGUUGCAGCAUAAUCACAGUCCCCAACUGAGCAUCGUGGUCGACGACUACGACCAGCAACCUGUGCUGUCCCAGAGCUGAAACACGGCCAUCAAGGCAAAUUGCAAGCACACAUUUUUGUCCUGUGUUUAGCUCAAAUGAAGUUGUUUUUUUUUGUUUGUUUGUUUUUUUAAAUACACUUUUGUUCUGACUACAGAGGAAGAAGCUGUUCUUUGCUCCAGUACCCUCCCUUAGUUGUGAGAAAGGGGGAAAUAAUUUGUAUAUAUGGGUAAAACUCAAGAUGAAGAUGCAAAUAACAGAAGAAACUCCCAAAUGAAUUAAAUUUUCAUCUGGACCUGAAAUUGUGCUCAAUUUGUAGUUUAUUCAGCUGUGUAUAGAUGCUUGUUUUAGAACAGUUAAAUAUUUUAUUUAAGUUGUUCUAUAUUAAGUAUCAAGAAAAAUAAUCUCUUUAAGCUCUUCAGUUUACAAGAGAAAUGCAAAAUGUUACUGGGUUUUUAUUUCCUUAAAUUGGUACCAUAUGUACUUACCAUUUCCUGCAAUGGUAAGGUUGUGGGUCCUGAAACUGUCCUCGGCACUCUCCAGCCCCAAAGUGGUAUACGCUAGCAAACUGUACUUUGCUCCACUAAAUGUCAAAGAAAAGGCACAUUUUAAGUCAUUUCUGCUUUGUAUUGCGCAGACAGAAAUUAGAGGGAGCCUAGGGAUACCUGAGAUAAAGCACGUGCUUACAGGGACAAGGCAGCAGCUGUCAGUGGCCACGGGCUGCCACCCCCAGCCCCUUCCCACAGAACUGCCCCCCAGCAUGCUCAGCUGAUUCCGACAUCCUCACCUCCUGCCUCCACCCUGCGCAGCACCUCUGGUUCCCUCCCACCCCGUGACUUCCAUUCCAACACCACGGAGCCCCAUCAGCUCAGUCUCUCCAGCUAUCUAUCUGCCACAGGCAAACCCAGACAUAAGGCCUGUGCUUUCCAAGCCUCCUGCACCCCAAGGACACUAAAAGCAUCUCUCCUCUCUACUCAGACGCCAAGUAACUUUUGAUAGGUUUGCAGCUUUUGUUCCUAGGCCUAACUCAAAAAUGAGUUCAAAAAUAUACACUAUAGGCAACAGAAAAACAGAUGAUGAACUUGAUCUGAAAACACAAGUUUCAAAAUUAAAAUCUU
rnacentral:lncRNA from 1 species